AUUGAACGCUGGCGGCAUGCUUUACACAUGCAAGUCGAACGGUAACAGGUCUUCGGAUGCUGACGAGUGGCGAACGGGUGAGUAAUGCAUCGGAACGUGCCCAGUCGUGGGGGAUAACGCAGCGAAAGCUGCGCUAAUACCGCAUACGAGCUAUGGAUGAAAGCGGGGGACCGUAAGGCCUCGCGCGGUUGGAGCGGCCGAUGUCAGAUUAGGGAGUUGGUGGGGUAAAGGCCUACCAAGGCGACGAUCAGUAGCUGGUCUGAGAGGACGAUCAGCCACACUGGGACUGAGACACGGCCCAGACUCCUACGGGAGGCAGCAGUGGGGAAUUUUGGACAAUGGGCGAAAGCCUGAUCCAGCAAUGCCGCGUGUGUGAAGAAGGCCUUCGGGUUGUAAAGCACUUUUGUCCGGAAAGAAAUGGCUCUGGUUAAUACCUGGGGUCGAUGACGGUACCGGAAGAAUAAGGACCGGCUAACUACGUGCCAGCCGCCGCCGUAAUAC
rnacentral:rRNA from 1 species